rnacentral:lncRNA from 1 species
CCAUGGUUAAAACAGAUCUCAAGAAUGCCACAGAUUCAAUGGCAGAGAACAUAGACUGCCUUGGAAUGACACAACAUCUGUGGCCAGUUUGAGCAGCAACACCUGAACUCCCAGAGCUCCAGUCUCAACUGAACCUGGACCUGGACAGCUGUAACCAACAUUACUCCUCUCCUACAACCUUGUCUAGGAGGUGACCAGAGCUUAACUCUCCAAAGACACCACAGUGUGGCAAUCGCAGGAGUAAUGAGUCUCAGAGCCCUUCUGUGCCACACAAGGGACCACCAUGUGCUUCUUGCUUCUCUGGGCUUUGAGGAUUCCUGCACAGAGGGUCUGAACUCUCACUUUGGGAGGAGGAGCAGCAAAUGAGGAUGCUUCCUCGGCGUCUCCAAGCAUAGCGCUCACAUGCCAACAGUUGCCACACGCAAACGAAACGUGCUAUUCCCGACAUGAGAAGUCUCACAUCAGUCCUGCUGACAUGAGCUGACUGAAUGCCCCAUAGCGUUUUCUUUGUUACACCUCACUGCAAUCAUCAUCUUGCUUUCUGUGGAACUGAUAGUAGACAUAUUCUGCAGCCAACAACCCAAAUGUCGCCCCAUGCUCGGCUGCCCUCAUCUUCUAUCAUGGGGGUGGGUGCAGGUG